rnacentral:rRNA from 1 species
UACGUAGGUGGCAAGCGUUGUCCGGAUUUAUUGGGCUUAAAGGGUGCGUAGGCGGUUUUCUAAGUCAGCAGUGAAAUACGGCAGCUCAACUGUCGAGGUGCUGUUGAUACUGGGGAACUUGAGUACUGAUGAGGUAGGCGGAAUGGACGGUGUAGCGGUGAAAUGCUUAGAGAUCGUCCAGAACACCGAUAGCGAAGGCAGCUUACUAAGGAGUAACUGACGCUGAGGCACGAAAGUGUGGGGAUCAAACAGG